AUGGGUGGAGGACUGGGCAGCUGCGGGUGGCGUUGUGAAGCCAGGGGCCUUCUGGUGGGUAAGGAUGUUGUGGAGCAAGCAGGGACACCUGGGAACCAGGAGUUCACAGGAAGGAGAGAGGAAAAAGGAAGUCUCUGGGAGGUAAACGCUGUAACACACGCCUGCACACAUACCCACGCCUGCACACGCAUCCACUCCUGCACACACAUCACACGCAUCCACUCCUGCACACACAUCCACUCCACACACAUCCACUCCUGCACACGCAUCCACUCCUGCACACACAUCACACGCAUCCACUCCUGCACACGCAUCCACUCCUGCACACACAUCCACUCCUACAUACACAUCCACUCCUGCACACACCACACGCAUCCACUCCUGCACACGCAUCCACUCCAACACAUGCAUCCACUCCUGCACACGCAUCCACUCCUGCACACACAUCACAUGCAUCCACUCCUACACACGCAUCCACCCCCGAUCUCUUCCCUGAAAAUAAAGCUGGGGACCCCUAGGCGGGUUUGCAGUGCGGCCCGGCCCUUAGGACAGGCUCCUUGGUGGGGUGAGGGGGGCAGCUGUCCUCCUGGGUCGGCCCCUUGGGACUGAACCGGCUGCUCUAGGGGCCUCCCAGGCUCCGAGCGGCAGCACCACGUCUAGAGGAGGUGGCUGGGGGUGUGUGAGGGCCGACAGCAGCCUGCACAGUAGCUGCCCCUCAACAAGCCACUUAUUCUUGCAAAGGGGGUGUCAGGGUGGGUGGGUGUGGUCAGCAAAGGGCAUGGGGGUUUCACCGGCUCCCUGCCCCCACUGGUGGGGCACAGGGAGGGGGGCUGUGGUCAGACCUGGUCUCUGGAGGGCCGGCCUGGGGAUUCUGUCCACCAGAUGGGAGGUUUGAUGCCACUUUAAGAUGACAAGUGAGGCCACCUGGGCACAGUGCUGUUGUGAAAAGGUGCCCACCAGGGUGGGUCAAGAGCCCAGGCCCACCCUGCUCCAAAAUUCUUCAGACCUGGCGAAAAGGCACCCCAGGAGGGCGUGGUGUUCCAGGCCCACCUCACAGGCUCCAGGGCGGCCAAGGAUGGAGGACAAUUCCAGGGAUGAGCAAGACAUAGCCAAGAGCAUCUUCCUGGGAGAGGCCGAGCUGGCCACUUGCACAGCCCGGGGGCUUCCCGACCCUGGACCUGGUACCUUCACUCUUGCUGCUACCCCUGGAUUCAUACCUGCACCCCAGCCUUAGCCACACCCAGGCCUCCAGCUAAAGUGAUGCUAUGGGUGCCAAGCGUCUGAGGUCCACACAAGCCCCCUCAGACUCAGGAUGGGAAUUCCUGGGGGCCAGAGCUACCAAGGGUGCUGUCUGGGGGUGCCGGGCAAAGCAGGAGGGCAGAGGAGGCCUGAGCAGUUCCUCCAGUGCUCCUGACAGGCGGCAGCCCAACCAUCCUCCCACAGCCACUUGGCUUGCCACACCUGCAGGCCUGGCUCCCCCGCCCAUGAGGUCCUGACCAAAUGCAGGAGAAGCAAUUUCAGCACCGGCGGAAGGGGGUGGCAGAGCUGGGGAGGGCUAGUAGAGCCAUCUGUCAGCACCGCCUCGGAGCGCCCAGAGUGGUCCCCGCUCGGGGAUUCACCCGGAGCAUUUUCAGCCUCUCCAGGCCCACCCUCGCCCAGAGGCCACAAAAACCCUGCUGUACUGGGGCCGGCAUCGGGGCCCCCACCCACGUGGAAUUACAUGGCUUUGCAUAAUUACAAAUUCGAGGUUGUCAAAGCCUCCCCCUGGAGGCCAUGCAUGGCUGUGAGAGAGGACCCAGACUACCCUGUGGCCCCAGGAAGGCUCUGCAACAAAAUACCCCUUAGGGUAAAACCCAGGACCUUCUCAAAACUUAAGCUGUCAUUGGACAUUUCAAAUGGUGCUUCCUAAGAGCACUUCAAUAAUGGUGUUCCAACGAUCACGCCCCCAAGGCCACUCCACACUUGCACACCCCCAGUUUAGGGAGCUCACCCCUCCUCUCCGGGUGCGUCUCCUCGCAUCCCACACUCAGCCCUGCUCGUGACUUUCUGCUCCCAGCGCCGUCCUCAGUGGCCACACCAGGAAUGAGGCCGUGUCCUCCUGGCUCAGGUGUCAGCAAAUGCCCUGGCGUCUUGGGCCGGGCUGGGGGCAGCAGGGUGAGGUGGGGUGAGGAGGCCGACCUCACUGCCCCUCCCUUUCCUGCCUGCCCUUC
rnacentral:lncRNA from 1 species